GACGAACGCUGGCGGCGUGCCUAACACAUGCAAGUCGAACGGAGUGGCGAACGGGUGAGUAAUACGUGGGUGAUUUGCCUUGCACUGGGGGUUACGCCUGGGAAACUGGGUCUAAUACCGGAUAGUGUAAGAUGAGCGCGCGGGCUAUUAGCUUGUUGGUGGGGUAAUGGCCUACCAAGGCGUCGACUGGUAGCCGGCCUGGGAGGGUGUACGGCGCCCAUGGUCCUGCGGUACGGCCCAGACGGCAACGUUGGGCAGCAGUGGGGAGUAUGGCACAAUGGGCGCGCGCCUAAUGCAGCGGCCCCGGGGGGGGGAAGAACGCCUUCGGGUUGUAAACUCCUUUCGACAGAGACGCGGUACCUGUAUAAGAAGCACCGGCUAACUACGUGCCAGCAGCCGCGGUAAUAC
rnacentral:rRNA from 1 species